UACGUAGGGGGCAAGCGUUGUCCGGAAUCAUUGGGCGUAAAGAGCGUGUAGGCGGCCCGAUAAGUCCGCUGUGAAAGUCCAGGGCUCAACCCUGGAAUGCCGGUGGAUACUGUCGGGCUCGAAUCCGGAAGAGGUGAGUGGAAUUCCUGGGUGUAGCGGUGAAAUGCGCAGAUAUCAGGAGGAACACCAAUGGCGAAGGCAGCUCACUGGGACGGUAUUGACGCUGAGACGCGAAAGCGUGGGGAGCAAACAGG
rnacentral:rRNA from 1 species